GACGAACGCUGGCGGCGUGCUUAACACAUGCAAGUCGAACGAAGUGGCGAACGGGUGAGUAACGCGUAAUCAACCUGCCCUUCAGAGGGGGACAAAAGUUGGAAACGACUGCUAAUACCGCAUACUGAAGGAGGGGAUUGUGGCUGCUUAGCUAUUUGGAGGGGUAACGGCCCACCAAGGCGAUGAUCAGUAGCCGGUCGUGGAGGAUGAACGGCCACAAUGGGGCUGAAACAUGGCCCAGACUCCUACGGGAGGGAGCAGGUGGGAAUCGUCCGCAAUGGACGAAAGUCUUACGGAGCAUCGCCGCGUGAGUGAUGACGGCCUUCGGGUUGUAAAGCUCUGUUAAUCGGGACGCGGUACCGGAAUAGAAAGCCACGGCUAACUACGUGCCAGCAGCCGCGGUAAUUC
rnacentral:rRNA from 1 species